UGCAAGUCGAGCGAGCUGAAUUCAAAGAUCCCUUCGGGGUGAUUUGUUGGAUGCAAGCGGSGGAUGGGUGAGUAACACGUGGGCAAUCUGCCCUAAARACUGGGAUACCACUUGGAAACAGGUGCUAAUACCGGAUAACAACAUGAAUCGCAUGAUUCAAGUUUGAAAGGCGGCGCAAGCUGUCACUUUAGGAUGAGCCCGCGGCGCAUUAGCUAGUUGGUGGGGUAAAGGCCUACCAAGGCAAUGAUGCGUAGCCGAGUUGAGAGACUGAUCGGCCACAUUGGGACUGAGACACGGCCCAAACUCCUACKGGAGGCAGCAGUAGGGAAUCUUCCACAAUGGACGCWAGUCUGAUGGAGCAACGCCGCGUGAGUGAAGAAGGUCUUCGGAUCGUAAAGCUCUGUUGUUGGUGAAGAAGGA
rnacentral:rRNA from 1 species